rnacentral:misc_RNA from 1 species
AACAACAACAACAACACCACCACCCCUUAUGCCACUGAACUUUCUCAUCUUUUUUGUUGGAAGAAGCCAACAAAAAAUGUUAGUAGCCAACAAAGAAGCAACACAGAAAUGACUGGUCAUGUUCAUGAUCAAGAUCAAGAUUUGGAGUUAGGGAAUAGCAAAGAUUUGUUGCUAAAAGGAUAUGGUGAAGAUAGUGUAGAAUCAGAGUUAAUGAGGCUACACAAUCUAUGUGGACCUCCUAGAUUUCUCUUCACAAUUAAAGAAGAAACAAAAGAGGAUUUAGAAUCAGAAGAUGGUAAAUCUAGAAGUAGAAACAAAAGCUUUAGUGAUCUUAUCCUUACACCUUUGUCAUCACCACCAAUUAAGACUCAAAAUCUUGAUUCUUACAAUUGUCAAGGAUUCAAUCCACUCUUUGAAUCAUCAAAUGAGUUGAACAAACUCAAAUCUUCACCCCCUCCAAAGUUCAAGUUCCUUAGAGAUGCUGAGGAGAAGCUUAUAAGAAGAUUAAUAGAAUUAGAAGCA